UCGGGAGCCCUCACUGGGGCCAGGCACAAGCCCAUUUGGUGGAGGAGGACCCAAGCUGGAGCGGGAACCAGCUUCCCGACGCCCCUCGGGGAGCCCAGGCCUUGCCAGCCCUGGGACCCACCCCGGUGUCUGUCCCCUCUGCAGGGAGGACACCCCGUGGGUUUUCUCACAUCCUAGGCAGACACGGGUCUGGGAGGGUCCCGCCAGCUGCCCCUGGGAGAGGGGAAGGCCCCAGGGCAGGCGGCCGGCCGUUGGGGUGGUCAGACAUACCGGGUGGGGCUGGAGCUGGCUGAGUGCCAGGGGGCAUCCAAACGGUUGGGGAACUCCAGGUGAUGGGGAGCCCCCUGGGUUACUGAGCAGGCGCAGUGGGCUCUCAGGAGAGUAGCCCGCUGGGGGCCGGCCAGGGACGAGGGGCUCUCCGUCCGCCAUGCUCCCCUCCUCCCUCCCGUCUCCCCCCGGGGCUCCCCCUCCCCUGGGGCUCCUCCCCCUUCCCCUCCUCUCUCCUCUCCUCUCCCGAGGGGCUCCCCUCCUCCUCCCCUUCCCCGCAGCUACCCCCUCCCCUCCUUCUCCCCUCCCCCCCAGGCUCCCCCUCCCUGGGCCCCUCGGGCGCAUGUUCCCAUCAUCUCCGUGUGGCGGGGAGCUCAGCUUCGCAGGGUCCUACCAGGUCCUAGGACUGCUUCUCUCAGACGGGAAACUGAGGCACAGAGUCUCGCAGCUGGUGGAGCUGGGGUUCAAGUCCAGGCAGAGCCUUUGGGCUUAUGAGGGAGACUACCCCACAGACGGCGGGCAGCUCCCCAAGGCCCCAGGAGGAGGAGCUGUGCCCAGAGCAGAGAGAAAGAACUGCUGCGCAAAGGCCCUGAGGCUGAGUCCGGCCGGCCUUCUCAUCCAAACAUCCAGGGGAUGCCACCGCGGCAGAAAAAUGAUGCUGUUCCAUUAACAUCUGACACGGAUUUGCAGGCCCCAAACAGACGGGCGCGCGUGUAAACACCGGCCUGGCUGGGCCCCCGCCCGCCCGGCUCAAAGCGGGAUCCUGGUAAUUAAUUGUCCGCCCGCUGGCCCCCCGCCCCGCCACCCCGGCCAGUGUGGUUUUGAGAUUGCAGCCCUUCAGGCCCCCCGCAAACUGCAUUUCCCAAACAACGGAUGUGCCCUAGCUGCCGGAAGGAGCAGAGGGAAGCGCCCGGCUAGCGGGCGGGGCCCAGCUCCCCCCAGGAGCCCGGGGGGUCAGGUGCCGAGAGGGCGCAGCCCCGGGCCCAGGGGCCUCCAGCCCACUGAGCGCCUGGCACGGCCAGCCGCGGUUUCUCAUUCCACUCGUUUCGGCUGACUUUGUGAGGGUGUAAGCCACCUCGACAUUGUUACAACAUGUGUCUUUUUACCUUGAAGAGAGAGGAUGCUAGAAUGCUAUUCUAGAACAUUCAGCAUCAGUGACACCUCGCGCACGUGCGCAUGUGUGUGUGUGUUUGCACCACCAAUACCUUCUCUGCUUGUCAAAGGGAAGCUUAAAUAAACGGCAACAAUUCUCCCCCGUGUGUAGACUAAGCUUUGAUCUGCGGCAGCCCCACAUUUCUAUUUCCUCUCUUCCCUGCUUUUUGGGUUCAUUUCUUUUAGAGUUUAGGAAAACUGCCUGACGUUGCCAGUGGGGGCUAUCAAAGGUCUUGCUGCUCGGCACCCCAGCUGGUGGGGUACCCCACUGUGAGCUGUGAUAUGGGCACAGUCAUCUUACCUUCGAUGGGCUCACGGACGGCCCACGGUGUGUACUGGGAUCGGAUAUUUGCUCCUUUAUCCCACCUUUAAACCUGGGAAAGAACGUGGUCCUGCUUCCUUCUUCUUGAGUUUUAAACCGUCUGACGGCUCCCCUAGGGUGCCUGGGGUCCCCAGCUUCUCCGUGAACAUCCGGCGUCUGUGGCCCGAGUCGCAAGGAUGUUUGCUGGUGGCUCCUCCUAGACCGUGUGUCAGCUCCAGCAGAGUUUCUCAGUGUCUGUGCUCUGCUCCUCCCAGGGUCCCUGGGGCAGUCGGGCCAGGGUCCGUGAGAAGGAGGGGUCUGGGGCCCGGGGCAGAUGUGAAUAGGACGCCUUCUGGGGAAGGUUUUCCGCUGGUGUGUGUUUCCGCUCUGGACUCAGCACCGUGCAGUUCUCACGUCUGGCUUAGAGUAUGUUUCUAG
rnacentral:lncRNA from 1 species